GACCAGCAAAAGAAAAGAAAAAACACACCCGUCCAACCCCCAAUCUCACCCUUCUCUCUCUCACCACUCACAUAGAACCCGUGCGCCGCCGCCUCCGACCUAAACCUAACUCGACCGCGCCGCCGCCCGUCCGCUUGUUCCCUCGCGCCACAUCAACUCCAACCCUGACCUUCCUCCCCGCAGGGCACCAUCCGCCCAGGAGCAGCAGCUCCAUCCGCUGCGCUGAGGAGUAGCAGCGCUGUCAAGCGCCACCGUACAGGAGCAGCAGCGCCGUCAAGCGCCACCAGACAGGAGCAGCAGAACCGUCCACCAGUAAGGAGAAGCAAGGCCGUCGGCCGCCGAGGAUCCAGCGCUGGUUUUCCUCCACCUGUGGCCUCUGUUCCGGCUGAUUUCCUUCCCUCCGCCCGGCCUGAGGUAAGCUUCUGGUGGUGGGGGCAAGUGAAGAAUUUACAUCGGUUCUGUUACAGGAACAGAGGAUGGUCCUCCUAAGCUGCUUAAUGGUACAAUUUGUAAUGUCAUUAUGAACAUUGGAUGCAUUAGACUGUCAUAAUACCUAGUUUCUAUCAAAAAGUAUCAUAAGUAAGGGCACAAUGUGGUGAUAGUAAAUCUGGUUUAUGGAAGAACAUUGAGUAUUUGGUUUCUAUAUUUAUAUAUGUAUAGCAGCACCCUAAUUAUGCAAAUAGUAUCAAAUCCCGAGCCUUAAUCAUGGCAACUAGCGGAAAAUGUAUGGUUUAGUUUGCAAGCACAUACAUGUGAAUAUUAUUCCAGCAAGAAUGCUAGCUGCUAGCAUAUAUCUAUCCCAGGUACUUUGCGGAUAGGCCAGCGGCAAGCCUUGUUUCUUCUUUUUAGAUUUUCCCUUGAUAUAUUCUCCUUGUUGAACUAACAAUUUUUGGCAUCCUGUGGCAUGCCACCAUUCUGCUGGUUGGAUCUUGGUUACAAUUAAGAUUCAGGAGAUGACUCUCUUUUAAUUGAAUGAUUUUUAAUUGGAUCUUGGUUACAAUUAAUAUUAAGUUGCUAAUGGCGAUGAUUUAUAUUUCGAUGAUGAUGACGGUGAUGAGCCAUUGAUGCUCGAGGAUGAAGCAGGGUUAGCCGAGGUCCUCGAAGCCUGUCUCUGACGCUGAUGGGUGGACCGCUCUGCUGCCUAGGCAUGAUCAGCCUGGGAAGUAGUAUUAAGGACAUGAGAAGCAAUACUUGGCGCUGUUUGGCCUGAAGGUAGAGUUGGAAUCCCUCUAGCCCAGCUCUAGGCAGGAGGUCGGUUGGAAUUGGAUCAGUAUCAGGAUUAGGAAGCAACCAAGUCACCCUUUUGAUCAACUAAAAUAGUAACAACAGUCAAUGGUGACUUGUGACCAUGAGGUCACGUGUUCAAGUCCUGGAAAGAGCCUCUUGUAGAAAUGUAGGGAAAGGCUGCGUACAAUAGACCCAAAGCGGUCGGACCCUUCCCCGGACCCUGCGCAAGUGGAGCUACAUGCACCGGGCUGCCCUUUUGACGCUUGCAGACCAUGUGAUGUUGCUUGCUUAUAUAUCAACAAGCACACGGCUCCGUGGGCGAGGAGGAUGACUGGGACCCCAACCCCAAGUCGACGACCCUGACCUCGACUUCCCACACAAGGGACAAAUGGUAGAAAGUAGCAAGUCCACAAGUUGAUCGAAGAUGUUCUCCUGAUUUCUUUUGUUGAAAACAGGGUUCACACAUUUUGUUCAUAUGGAAGUUGAUUUGGCUUGGUGAUUGAAGAGUUGGUCUUCCAUAAUAUUCUGUAGUAGUCAAGUGAUCAAGCAUUUGUCUCCUAGGAACUUUGGCCAUUAUGCUUGUAAUAACGUGCCUCUCUCGGUACUUAUAUCUGACUUGUGUAUACUUAAUGGCUGUAGCUAACUUCAGUGAAGAAAACUAAUGAAUCUUCUAUAUAUGUCGAAUGAAUGCAUUGAUCAA